rnacentral:rRNA from 1 species
GACAAACGCUGGCGGCGUGCCUAAUACAUGCAAGUCGAACGGUACUCCUUCGGGAGUAUAGUGGCGGACGGGUGAGUAACACGUAGAUGACCUACCCUGAUGUGGGGAAUAACCCCUCGAAAGAGGAGCUAAUACCGCAUAAGUUCUACAAUGUGGGUUGUAGAAGAAAUGCUUUUCUAUUCGCAAGGAUAGAGGAGUAGCAACAGGAGGGAUCUGCGGCGGAUUAGCUAGAUGGGGGGUAAUGGCCUACCAUGGCGACGAUCCGUAGCUGGUCUGAGAGGACGACCAGCCACACUGGGACUGAGACACGGCCCAGACUCCUACGGGAGGCAGCAGUGGGGAAUAUUGGACAAUGGGCGAAAGCCUGAUCCAGCAAUGCCGCGUGAGUGAUGAAGGCCCUAGGGUUGUAAAGCUCUUUUACCCCGGGAUGAUAAUGACAGUACCGGGAGAAUAAGCCCCGGCUAACUCCGUGCCAGCCGCCGCGGUAAC